UACGUAGGUGGCAAGCGUUGUCCGGAAUUAUUGGGCGUAAAGCGCGCGCAGGCGGUUCUUUAAGUCUGAUGUGAAAGCCCACGGCUCAACCGUGGAGGGUCAUUGGAAACUGGAGAACUUGAGUACAGAAGAGGAAAGCGGAAUUCCACGUGUAGCGGUGAAAUGCGUAGAGAUGUGGAGGAACACCAGUGGCGAAGGCGGCUUUCUGGUCUGUAACGGACGCUGAGGCGCGAAAGCGUGGGGAGCAAACAGG
rnacentral:rRNA from 1 species